rnacentral:rRNA from 1 species
GACGAACGCUGGCGGCGUGCUUAACACAUGCAAGUCGAACGGAAAGGCCCUGCUUUUGUGGGGUGCUCGAGUGGCGAACGGGUGAGUAACACGUGAGUAACCUGCCCUUGACUUUGGGAUAACUUCAGGAAACUGGGGCUAAUACCGGAUAGGAGCUCCUGCUGCAUGUUGGGGGUUGGAAAGUUUCGGCGGUUGGGGAUGGACUCGCGGCUUAUCAGCUUGUUGGUGGGGUAGUGGCUUACCAAGGCUUUGACGGGUAGCCGGCCUGAGAGGGUGACCGGCCACAUUGGGACUGAGAUACGGCCCAGACUCCUACGGGAGGCAGCAGUGGGGAAUAUUGCACAAUGGGCGGAAGCCUGAUGCAGCAACGCCGCGUGCGGGAUGACGGCCUUCGGGUUGUAAACCGAUUUCGCCUGUGACGAAGCGUGAGUGACGGUAAUGGGUAAAGAAGCACCGGCUAACUACGUG